rnacentral:rRNA from 1 species
UAAGGAAUAUUGCUCAAUGGGAGAAAUCCUGAGGCAGCAACGCCGCGUGGAGGAUGAAGGGUCUAUGACUUGUAAACUCCUGUAAAGAAGGAAAAAAUUCCCAUUUGAUGGGAGAUGAUGGUACUUCUGGAGUAAGCCCCGGCUAACUACGUGCCAGCAGCCGCGGUAAUACGUAGGGGGCAAGCGUUGUCCGGAUUUACUGGGUGUAAAGGGUGCUCAGGCGGAUUUGUAAGUCAGAGGUGAAAUCUUACAGCUUAACUGUGAAACUGCCUUUGAUACUGCAAGCCUAGAGUAUGGAGGAGAGUGAUGGGAUAUCUGGUGUAGCGGUGAAAUGCGUAGAUAUCAGAUAGAACACCAAUGGCGAAGGCAGUCACUUGAUCCAUUACUGACGCUAAAGCACGAAAGCGUGGGUAGCAAACA